rnacentral:rRNA from 1 species
GAUGAACGCUGGCGGCGUGCCUAAUACAUGCAAGUCGAGCGAACAGACGAGGAGCUUGCUCCUCUGACGUUAGCGGCGGACGGGUGAGUAACACGUGGAUAACCUACCUAUAAGACUGGGAUAACUUCGGGAAACCGGAGCUAAUACCGGAUAAUAUAUUGAACCGCAUGGUUCAAUAGUGAAAGACGGUUUUGCUGUCACUUAUAGAUGGAUCCGCGCCGCAUUAGCUAGUUGGUAAGGUAACGGCUUACCAAGGCAACGAUGCGUAGCCGACCUGAGAGGGUGAUCGGCCACACUGGAACUGAGACACGGUCCAGACUCCUACGGGAGGCAGCAGUAGGGAAUCUUCCGCAAUGGGCGAAAGCUUGACGGAGCAACGCCGCGUGAGUGAUGAAGGUCUUCGGAUCGUAAAACACUGUUAUUAGGGAAGAACAAAUGUGUAAGUAACUAUGCACGUCUUGACGGUACCUAAUCAGAAAGCCACGGCUAACUACGUG